rnacentral:rRNA from 1 species
GUACUGUAAGGGAAAAUCUAUAAUAGUAAAGAAUACGUGCAAUUAAAUACCUUUUGUAUCAGGGUUAAUCAAUAUACUAUAAAUUUAUCAGUUUCGAAAAUGUUUGAUCUAGGGAGUUUAAUUUUAUUUGUGUCAAAAAAGAAAAUAAACUUUCUUAGUAGUGAAAAAUUAUACGUAAAUAUUAAUAUCUAAUUAAAAGUGAAAUAAUGAACUUUAUUCUUUAUAAAAGAUAAGUCUAAUUGGGUAAGCUAAUUAGAUUAAAAUAAUAAAAUUUAUUGCUAUAAAACUAGGCUUUAAACUAGUCACGUUUAUACUCUGUAUUAAGUAAUUUAUUUAGUUAAAUCUAAACAUUUUAAAUUAACUUUUUAAUUCCUACAAUAACUAAAGAAAUACAAAAAUGAUUAAAUUAGUAUUUAUAAACGAUAAAAUUAAUAAACUCAAAUAUAUCUUGACUGUUUAACAAAAACAUUUCUUUCUGAGCUAAAGAAAGUACAACCUGCCCAGUGAAUUUUAAACGGCUGCGGUAUUUUGACCGUGCUAAGGUAGCAUAAUAAAUUGCUCUUUAAUUGGGGGCUGGAAUGAAAGGUUACACAAUUUAUAAUUUUUAUUAUUCUUAGUCAGUGAAUUUUUAUUACAAGUAAAAAUACCUGUAUAAUAUAAAGGGACGAUAAGACCCUAGAAGCUUUAGUUUACAAGUCUCUAAGACAAUCUUAUUUAAGACUCAGACACUACAAAACUUUGAUUGGGGAAAUAGAGAUUUAACUAAUAAUCUAUGCGCAUAAAAAUACAUUACUUAACGAUCUUUUAUAUGAAAAAGAAAAGAAAAAGUUACUCUAGGGAUAACAGCGUAAUAACUUUGGUUAGACCUCAUAUAUAAAGUUGAUUACGACCUCGAUGUUGAAUUAAAAUAUCUUAUUAGAGCAGAAGCUAGUAUAAGAAGGUUUGUUCAACCUUUAAUUUUUUACAUGAUUUGAGUUCAGACCGGUUUAAGCCAGGUCGGUUUCUAUCUUUUAUUUUUUAAAAAUUUUUUUAGUACGAAAGGACCAAAUAAUUUUAAUAUUU